AAAACCAAAGAACUACGAGUGCAAGCUUAAAACCCAAAGGACUUGACGGUGCCACCCACCUAGAGGAGCCUGUUCUAUAAUCGAUACUCCCCUUCACCUCACCAUUUUUAGCCUCUCAGCCUGUAUACCUCCGUCGUAAGCUUACCCUAUGAAUGUAUUAGUAAGCCAAAGGUUAGGUCAAGGUGCAGCUCAUAAAAUGGAAAGAAUGGGCUACAAUUUCUAACCUAGACAAACGAACUGUAUGAAACCGUUACGAAGGCGGAUUUAGCAGUAAAAAGAAAAUAGAGUGUUCUUUUUAAUCAGGCCCUGGGACGCGUACACACCGCCCGUCAUCCU
rnacentral:rRNA from 1 species